GGAUGAAGAACGUAGCGAAAUGCGAUAAGUAGUGUGAAUUGCAGAAUUCAGUGAAUCAUCGAAUCUUUGAACGCACAUUGCGCCCCUUGGUAUUCCAUGGGGCAUGCUUGUUCGAGCGUCAUUUGUACCCUCAAGCUUUGCUUGGUGUUGGGCGUUUGUCCGUUUCUUUGCAGAUGGACUCGCCUUAAAUUCAUUGGCAGCUAAAAUAUCGCGGCAAUCGCAGCACAAUUUGCGGGCGCAGUAGAUAAUGUUUGGCCUCCAGUAAGCCUAAAUAACACUUUUGACCUCGGAUCAAGUAGGGAUACCCGCUGAACUUAAGCAUAUCAAUAAGCGGAGGA
rnacentral:misc_RNA from 1 species